UCACCAGACAUGACAUCUGGAGCCGGAUC
rnacentral:piRNA from 1 species